rnacentral:tRNA from 1 species
UGGGAUAUAGCUCAGUUGGUAGAGUGCUUGCCUUGCAUGGGCAAGGUUCUGGGUUCAAUCCCCAGCACCAA